rnacentral:rRNA from 1 species
GAUGAACGCUGGCGGCGUGCCUAAUACAUGCAAGUCGAGCGAACAGACGAGGAGCUUGCUCCUCUGACGUUAGCGGCGGACGGGUGAGUAACACGUGGAUAACCUACCUAUAAGACUGGGAUAACUUCGGGAAACCGGAGCUAAUACCGGAUAAUAUAUUGAACCGCAUGGUUCAAUAGUGAAAGACGGUUUUGCUGUCACUUAUAGAUGGAUCCGCGCCGCAUUAGCUAGUUGGUAAGGUAACGACUUACCAAGGCAACGAUGCGUAGCCGACCUGAGAGGGUGAUCGGCCACACUGGAACUGAGACACGGUCCAGACUCCUACGGGAGGCAGCAGUAGGGAAUCUGCCGCAAUGGGCGAAAGCCUGACGGAGCAACGCCGCGUGAGUGAUGAAGGCCUUCGGAUCGUAAAACUCUGUUAUUAGGGAAGAACAAAUGUGUAGUAACUAUGCACGUCUUGACGGUACCUAAUCAGAAAGCCACGGCUAACUACGUG